rnacentral:rRNA from 1 species
GAGCACGUAGGUGGGUUUGUUAGUCAGAUGUGAAAGCCUUCUGUUCAACGGAAGAACGGCAUCUGAAACUGCAGAUCUUGAGUGUAGGAGGGGAGAAUGGAACUUCUGGUGGAGCGGUGAAAUGCGUAGAUAUCAGAAGGAACGCCGGCGGCGAAAGCGACUCUCUGGCCUAUUACUGACACUGAGUGUGCGAAAGCUAGGGGAGCAAACGGGAUUAGAUACCCCGGUAGUCCUAACUGUAAACGAUGGGCACUAAGUAGAGGGGUU